rnacentral:misc_RNA from 1 species
GGAAGCUGUUCGAUGAAAUGCCUCAAAGAGAUAGGGUUAGUUGGAAUACUAUGUUAGAUGGAUAUACCAAGGCUGAGCAAAUGAGUGUGGCAUUUGAGUUGUUUAAAACUAUGCCACAGAGGGAUGUCGUCUCUUGGUCCACCAUGGUCUCGGGUUAUUGCAAAGCUGGGGAUUUGGAGAUGGCUCGGAUGUUAUUUGAUAAGAUGCCUUCCAAGAAUUUGGUUUCUUGGACAAUAAUGAUAUCAGGGUAUGCUGAAAAGGGUCUUAUAAAUGAGGCAAUUCUGUUGUUCAUGCAAAUGGAGGAGACAGGUUUGAGACUUGAUGUUGCGGCUUUUGUUAGCAUUCUAGCUGCCUGUGCAGAGUCGGGAAUGCUUAGUUUGGG